UACGUAGGGUGCGAGCGUUAAUCGGAAUUACUGGGCGUAAAGCGUGCGUAGGCGGUUCGUUAAGUGCGUCGUGAAAGCCCCCGGGCUUAACCUGGGAAUUGCAUUGGAAACUAGCGGGCUGGAGUGUGGCAGAGGGGGGUGGAAUUCCACGUGUAGCAGUGAAAUGCGUAGAGAUGUGGAGGAACACCGAUGGCGAAGGCAGCCCCCUGGGCUAACACUGACGCUCAUGCACGAAAGCGUGGGGAGCAAACAGG
rnacentral:rRNA from 1 species